UUAUAAACCUGAUGGACGCGACAGCCUCCGAUUUUUUCUAUCGGAGCUACAGCAAACAGCAGGACUAUUU
rnacentral:sRNA from 1 species